rnacentral:rRNA from 1 species
AACAAACGCUGGCGGCGUGCCUAACACAUGCAAGUCGAGCGCGAACGGGGGCAACUCCCUAGUAGAGCGGCGCACGGGUGAGUAACACGUAGGUAAUCUACCCCGGAGUUUGGAAUAACCCACCGAAAGGUGAGCUAAUACCGGAUAUGACCACGAGAGUAAAAGCUCUUGAGGUGAAAGGUGGCCUCUGCUUGCAAGCUACCGCUCGAGGAUGAGCCUGCGCGCCAUUAGCUAGUUGGCGGGGUAACGGCCCACCAAGGCCAUGAUGGCUAGCUGGUCUGAGAGGAUGGCCAGCCAAACUGGGACUGACACACGGCCCAGACUCCUACGGGAGGCAGCAGUGGGGGAUAUUGCGCAAUGGGCGAAAGCCUGACGCAGCGACGCCGCGUGGGUGAUGAAGGCCUUCGGGUCGUAAAGCCCUUUCGAGGGGGAAGAACAAGCUGGGGGCAAAUAGGCCCCGGCCCUGACGGUACCCCUAGAAGAAGCACCGGCUAACUCCGUGCCAGCAGCCGCGGUAAAAC